rnacentral:tRNA from 1 species
AAGGGGUUAGUUAAAUAAUAACAUUGGUAUGUCAAGCCAAAAUAGUCAUAAACGGCACUCCUUU